CGGGAUGUGGCGCAGUUUGGUAGCGCACAUGGUUUGGGACCAUGGGGCCGUGAGUUCGAAUCUCACCAUCCCGA
rnacentral:tRNA from 1 species